rnacentral:lncRNA from 1 species
AUAAUCGACGUACCAUAAUAUUUCAAAAGUAUUUUUCUUUCAAAAUAUAAUUUCAUAAAUCAUGCAUAAUUUCAGAGAAUAAUUAUUUAUUUUCAGAAUAAAUAUGAAAUAUCUCGAGAAGAUGAUUCAUUACUUAUCUUUCACAGAGCAUUGAAUGAAUAGAUCGACUAACUUCUAGGAGAUUCUUCAGUACCUAUUAUCCAAAAUUAUAUUUUUAUAUUAAUUUUAAUUCAAAAU